GAUGAAGAACGUAGCGAAAUGCGAUAAGUAAUGUGAAUUGCAGAAUUCAGUGAAUCAUCGAAUCUUUGAACGCACAUUGCGCCCGCCAGUAUUCUGGCGGGCAUGCCUGUCCGAGCGUCAUUUCAACCCUCGAACCCCACCGGGGGGUCGGCGUUGGGGACCUCGGGAGCCCCUAAGACGGGAUCCCGGCCCCGAAAUACAGUGGCGGUCUCGCCGCAGCCUCUCCUGCGCAGUAGUUUGCACAACUCGCACCGGGAGCGCGGCGCGUCCACGUCCGUAAAACACCCAACUUCUGAAAUGUUGACCUCGGAUCAGGUAGGAAUACCCGCUGAACUUAAGCAUAUCAAUAAGCGGAGGA
rnacentral:misc_RNA from 1 species